AGAGUUUGAUCCUGGCUCAGAGCGAACGCUGGCGGCGUGCUUAACACAUGCAAGUCGAGUGCGCGGUAGCAAUACUGGCGCACGGCGCACGGGUGCGUAACACGUGGGCAAUCUGCCCUCCAGUGGGGAAUAACCCGCCGAAAGGCGGGCUAAUACCGCAUAACAUUCCUUGGACUUCGGUUCGAGGAUUCAAAGUCGCA
rnacentral:rRNA from 1 species